AACAAAGACAAACACGGCCGUGCGACAUGGCCAUGUGCACCCACACGCCCAAGGAACACGGGCGUGGGCCAAUUGUCAGACGCGCCCAAAUUUAAAAUUCACGAAUCACACGGGCAAAAAUUGGGGAACACUGGUUCCAUGGCCGUGUGCCCCCAAAAUCUAUAAAUAAACUACACUAUUCAUUGUCUUCUUUGCCUAAAAACCUUAACCCUAGCCGCUGCAAGUCCACACGGCCUCCCUGCCA
rnacentral:lncRNA from 1 species